GCAGAACGCGAAGAACCUUACCUGGGCUUGACAUCUACUGGAAGAAUCUCAGAAAUGAGUUCGCCUUCGGGCCGGUACACAGGUGCUGCAUGGCCGUCGUCAGCUCGUGUCGUGAGAUGUUCGGUUAAGUCCGGCAACGAGCGCAACCCCUGUGGUUAGUUGCCAGCACAUAAUGGUGGGGACUCUAGCCAGACUGCCCAGAUCAACUGGGAGGAAGGUGGGGAUGACGUCAGAUCAGUAUGGCCCUUACGCCUAGGGCUGCACACGUACUACAAUGCCCAGCACAAUGAGACCCGAGACCGCGAGGUGGAGGAAAUCUAUAAAACUGGGCCCAGUUCGGAUUGGAGGCUGCAACUCGCCUCCAUGAAGUUGGAAUCGCUAGUAAUGGCACAUCAGCUACGGUGCCGUGAAUACGUUCCCGGGUCUUGUACACACCG
rnacentral:rRNA from 1 species